rnacentral:misc_RNA from 1 species
GGAAUCCGCUGCUUUCCCCCCGUAAGUCUUAAUUCUAUCUGCUGUUGACAAUCAAUUUAGUGUCUUUUGUUUAUUUUAAUUAAUGUGUCCUAAAGCUUAUUUGAUUUUGUUUUUAGCUUUUAAUUUUAUGUGUAGUCAUGGAAUUCUAAAUUUUAGCUGGUUUUUUCAUGACUGAGCAUCUUUGCAUUAUAGUGCUUCUGAAUUAGAAGAAACCCUUUUAGAGGGAAAUGGAAAUAAGUGAAGUGAGCAAGUGUUGCUGUGAUCAUUUGCUCAUCUUUUGCGUGGAUGCUUUUGGUGUAUGUCGUAUGCUUUUGAUUUAUGUUUAUAUCUCAUUUUAUCUGUCAUAAUGUAAUGGGGGUAACUGAGACAAAUGAAACAAAUUAAAAGGUUCAAGCGCAAAUUAAUGAAUGCUUCAGCACUGUGUAAAUAAGUGGGAUAUAAAUGCUUGGUUAAGUAGAAUCCAUGAUUGCUAUAAAAGCAGGCAGACUAUGGUUCAGGGUAGAAUGUUUAGUUAAAUUAACCAUGUGAAGAAAAAAGAGGUUCAAGAUUUACUGCAGGCAUAUAGCUUAACCAGUUAAAGAAAUGUGAACUAUGGACUUGGUUCAAGUAACUUAAUAGUUUAGAGGCGGCUAGAACUUCUAUGCAGUAGUGCUAUAUGAAAGCUCACCAGGUCUCCCAAGAAAACAGAUGCUAUGCAAACAAAUGGACAGAUAGCUGGCAUUGCCAUCAUUGCACCCAUCUUCAUGUUGUGUGCCAUUUGUUUAUCAAAGAACUAAACACCCUCUUUAUUUAUUAGGUACCUUCUUCUUCACAAAGGUAGUUUUCUUUUUUUCUUUUUU